AAAACACAGUGAGUUUUCUCUCUGAAUCAUGCAGAACAGAUCAUAGCGCACACUCAAAUAUCUACUCCCUACUUACAGGAUCAGAAUCAGGCCCAGUCGGUCUAGCUCAGAAGAAUUAGCCAGAAUGGUGAUUUGUACUCAGAUGGGUUGAAGGGACUGAGCAAGGUCAGGAAUGAGUUAUUUGAGAAAGGAGAGAAGGACAUAAUUGGAGCAUUGCAUGCAGAAAAGGAGCAGAACAAACUUCAGAGAUCCAACUGGAUUUGGAAACUGAACAGCUGAUCUAGAGGAAAGAAGUAGGAAGGAGAGAGAUGGGGUAUCUGCUGGUAGAGAACAGGGAUGGAGGUGUUAAAAAGUACCAAUAAUAAAAAUCUUGUUUUUAUUUUUCA